CGCCUUAAGUGGUUGCACUGAUGGGGAUGAUAACGUUGUUCCAAACCAACCUUCCAAUUCUCCUACAUCUGAUCCUGAUAACCCUCCUUCUCCAUCAACAGCAUCCCAAAACACCUUCAUUAUCUCCCCUUCACUCCCGGAUUCCUUCCUUUCCUCAUCAACUAAGGACCAAUCCCAACCGAAUAACCCAUUCCACCAAUCAUCUUCUGAACCAAUGGUCACCUUAAGUGGUUGCACUACUGGGGACGGUGAUGUUGUACUAAACAAAUCUUCCAAUCCCUUUGCAUUUGCUACUUAUAACCCUCCUUCUCCAUCAACAGCUUCCCAAAAUCCCUUCAUUAUUCCCCCUCCACUCUCAGAUUCCUUCCUCUCCUCACCAACCAUUUACCA
rnacentral:lncRNA from 1 species